AGUGAACGCUGGCGGUAGGCCUAACACAUGCAAGUCGAACGGCAGCACAGUAAGAGCUUGCUCUUACGGGUGGCGAGUGGCGGACGGGUGAGGAAUACAUCGGAAUCUACUUUUUCGUGGGGGAUAACGUAGGGACACUUAUGCUAAUACCGCAUACGACCUACGGGUGAAAGCAGGGGAUCUUCGCACCUUGCGCGAUUGAAUGAGCCGAUGUCGGAUUAGCUAGUUGGCGGGGUAAAGGCCCACCAAGGCGACGAUCCGUAGCUGGUCUGAGAGGAUGAUCAGCCACACUGGAACUGAGACACGGUCCAGACUCCUAAGGGAGGCAGCAGGGGGGAAAAUUGGACAAUGGGCGGAAGCCUGAACCAGCCAUAGCGCGGGGGUGAAGAAGGCCUUCGGGUUGGAAAGCCCUUUUGUUGGGAAAGAAAAGCAGCAGGUUAAUACCACGCUGUUCUGACGGUACCCAAAGAAUAAGCACCGGCUAACUUCGUG
rnacentral:rRNA from 1 species